CGCACGGGUGAGUAACGCGUAUACAAUUUGCCUUUUACUGAAGAAUAGCCCAGAGAAAUUUGGAUUAAUGCUUCAUAGUAUUAUUUGGUCACCUGGCCGAGUAAUUAAAGCUCCGGCGGUAAAAGAUGAGUAUGCGUCCUAUUAGCUAGAUGAUAAGGUAACGGCUUACCAUGGCGACGAUAGGUAGGGGUCCUGAGAGGGAGAUCCCCCACACUGGUACUGAGACACGGACCAG
rnacentral:rRNA from 1 species